UACGUAGGGGGCGAGCGUUGUCCGGAUUUAUUGGGCGUAAAGAGCGUGUAGGCGGUUAGGUAGGUCCGUUGUGAAAACUCGAGGCUCAACCUCGAGACGCCGAUGGAAACCAUCUGACUAGAGUCCGGAAGAGGAGAGUGGAAUUCCUGGUGUAGCGGUGAAAUGCGCAGAUAUCAGGAGGAACACCGGUGGCGAAGGCGGGUCUCUGGGCCGUAACUGACGCUGAGGAGCGAAAGCGUGGGGAGCGAACAGG
rnacentral:rRNA from 1 species